CCCAUACCCAUGUGUGUAGGAUCUCAAACGAUCACUAUUAAAUUUAACACAAAUCUUUAGAAAAGUUAUCAUAUGGGUGUGGGAUUUGACUUUUCUAAAGAUUUGUGUAAAAUUUAAUGGUGAUCAUUUGGGGUUCUACACACAUGGGUGUGAG
rfam:Amborella trichopoda AMTR_V1.0_contig_17921, whole genome shotgun sequence.